AGAGUUUGAUCAUGGCUCAGAUUGAACGCUGGCGGCAGGCCUAACACAUGCAAGUCGAACGGUAACAGGAAGAAGCUUGCUUCUUUGCUGACGAGUGGCGGACGGGUGAGUAAUGUCUGGGAAACUGCCUGAUGGAGGGGGAUAACUACUGGAAACGGUAGCUAAUACCGCAUAACGUCGCAAGACCAAAGAGGGGGACCUUCGGGCCUCUUGCCAUCGGAUGUGCCCAGAUGGGAUUAGCUAGUAGGUGGGGUAACGGCUCACCUAGGCGACGAUCCCUAGCUGGUCUGAGAGGAUGACCAGCCACACUGGAACUGAGACACGGUCCAGACUCCUACGGGAGGCAGCAGUGGGGAAUAUUGCACAAUGGGCGCAAGCCUGAUGCAGCCAUGCCGCGUGUAUGAAGAAGGCCUUCGGGUUGUAAAGUACUUUCAGCGGGGAGGAAGGGAGUAAAGUUAAUACCUUUACUCAUUGACGUUACCCGCAGAAGAAGCACCGGCUAACUCCGUGCCAGCAGCCGCGGUAAUACGGAGGGUGCAAGCGUUAAUCGGAAUUACUGGGCGUAAAGCGCACGCAGGCGGUUUGUUAAGUCAGAUGUGAAAUCCCCGGGCUCAACCUGGGAACUGCAUCUGAUACUGGCAAGCUUGAGUCUCGUAGAGGGGGGUAGAAUUCCAGGUGUAGCGGUGAAAUGCGUAGAGAUCUGGAGGAAUACCGGUGGCGAAGGCGGCCCCCUGGACGAAGACUGACGCUCAGGUGCGAAAGCGUGGGGAGCAAACAGGAUUAGAUACCCUGGUAGUCCACGCCGUAAACGAUGUCGACUUGGAGGUUGUGCCCUUGAGGCGUGGCUUCCGGAGCUAACGCGUUAAGUCGACCGCCUGGGGAGUACGGCCGCAAGGUUAAAACUCAAAUGAAUUGACGGGGGCCCGCACAAGCGGKGGAGCAUGUGGUUUAAUUCGAUGCAACGCGAAGAACCUUACCUGGUCUUGACAUCCACAGAACUUUCCAGAGAUGGAUUGGUGCCUUCGGGAACUGUGAGACAGGUGCUGCAUGGCUGUCGUCAGCUCGUGUUGUGAAAUGUUGGGUUAAGUCCCGCAACGAGCGCAACCCUUAUCCUUUGUUGCCAGCGGUCCGGCCGGGAACUCAAAGGAGACUGCCAGUGAUAAACUGGAGGAAGGKGGGGAUGACGUCAAGUCAUCAUGGCCCUUACGACCAGGGCUACACACGUGCUACAAUGGCGCAUACAAAGAGAAGCGACCUCGCGAGAGCAAGCGGACCUCAUAAAGUGCGUCGUAGUCCGGAUUGGAGUCUGCAACUCGACUCCAUGAAGUCGGAAUCGCUAGUAAUCGUGGAUCAGAAUGCCACGGUGAAUACGUUCCCGGGCCUUGUACACACCGCCCGUCACACCAUGGGAGUGGGUUGCAAAAGAAGUAGGUAGCUUAACCUUCGGGAGGGCGCUUACCACUUUGUGAUUCAUGACUGGGGUGAAGUCGUAACAAGGUAACCGUAGGGGAACCUGCGGUUG
rnacentral:rRNA from 1 species